rnacentral:rRNA from 1 species
CCUACGGGUGGCAGCAGUGGGGAAUAUUGCACAAUGGGGGAAACCCUGAUGCAGCGACGCCGCGUGAGUGAAGACGUACCUCGGUAUGUAAAGCUUCAUCAGUAGGGAAGAAAAUGACGGUACCUGAGUAAGAAGCCCCGGCUAACUACGUGCCAGCAGCCGAGGUAAUACGUAGGGGGCCAGCGUUAUCCGGAUUUACUGGGUGUAAAGGGAGCGUAGACGGCAGUGCAAGUCUGGAGUGAAAGGCGGGGGCUCAACCCCCGGACUGCUCUGGAAACUGUACGGCUGGAGUGCAGGAGAGGUAAGUGGAAUUCGUAGUGUAGCGGUGAAAUGCGUAGAUAUUAGGAGGAACACCAGUGGCGAAGGCGGCUUACUGGACUGUAACUGACGUUGAGGCUCGAAAGCGUGGGGAGCAAACAGGAUUAGAUACCCGAGUAGUC